UACGUAGGGUGGCAAGCGUUUGUUCGGAAUUAUUGGGCGUAAAGGGCGCGAGUAGGCGGUUGGUUAAGUCAGCUGUGAAAAGCCCGGGGCUCAACCCCGGAGGGUCGGCUGAUACUGAUUGACUAGAGUACGGAAGAGGUAGCUGGAAUUCCCGGUGUAGACGGUGAAAUGACGUAGAUAUCGGGAGGAACACCUGAGGCGAAGGCGGGCUACUGGGCCGAUACUGACGCUGAGGCGCGAAAGCCAGGGGAGCAAAGCGGG
rnacentral:rRNA from 1 species